UGAGACGACCGGCAUUCAGCCAUUGACUUAAUUUUGCAUCCGAAAAGAUCCAUUUUUCUCAUCCCUUCAGAUUCUUUGCUCUUUUGCAGAUAAAAACACAACUUCUCAGUUGAAGAAAUAGAGGAUGAUUUAUGAAGUUUCAAAGUUGGCGUUGCAAGCUUCCUCAACUGGGUACGCACCUAUUAAAGAUAUGUAUUCAUACAUCAUGGACAAGAAAAAAUUUGUCGAAAAUUUGGAAGACAAUUUGACAAAGAUGAUUAGAGAGUUGGCCACCUUUUAUUCGAGGAAGGAAAAGGUCGAUCGAAGGCUAGAGGCAGCCGUGUCUAAAGAAAAAAGUGGUGAAUACGAUGUGUUGGUUAAGCAAAUGGAGUUUCAUCAUAAACGAUACAAUGAGUUUGUCAACAAGUAUCAACGAUAUUGCCAGGAUCUGCCAAGUUUUGAGAUACAUGAUGUUUCGAGUGCUACAAAAGUUAUGGAUGUUGUGCAGGAAAGAAAGCCAACCAUUAACACGCGCAAGUUCUUCAAGCUUGCAAAACUUAGCAAAAAGGUUAAUGAGUUGCUUGAUGAGAUCUCUCAGGUUAGUGGCAAAAUGGAACCCGAAAAUGUGUUAUGUGAUAAAAAAAUCGAAGACGUUCAAGUGAAAUAUGAUGAUAUUGAUCUUCCUUCAUCUAAUGAAUAUGUUAACAAGGUUAUAAGGUAUCUCAACGAAGAUGGAAACAGAAGAGUUGGCAUUUUGGGUCCUAUUGGAGUAGGAAAAACAACUAUCAUGAAAAGGUUGAAUAAUCAGCUUAAACAUUCUUCGUCUUCAUCUUGUGGAAUGACAAUGAUAACAAAAUUUGAUUUUGUUAUUUGGAUAGAUUGUCAAAACCAAUAUGAGGCAGAAGAUGUUGUUGAAGAGAUUCAAGAUGUGAUAAUUAGACGUCUAAAUCUAAAAGGGGACGAAGAAAAAAGUAGAGAACAAAAUGCUGAAAUCAUUUCAGAUUUCCUUUGUGAUAGAAAAUAUCUAUUGCUGAUUGAUCAAGUCUCUUCAACUAUCAACUUAGAUGAAGUUGGAGUUCAUAAAAACCACAAGUUUGGCAGGGUUGUACUUGCAUCUAGUAACAAGAAAGUUAUCUCACCUAUGACUGAUCAAGAGGUUGAGAUCAAGUUUCUAUCAGACAAAGAUGCGAUGAAACUCUUUUUAGAAGUUCAUGGCGAGAUUAACGACCCGCGCAUCAAACUUAUCGCCGAGAACAUAGUAAAGUCAUGUGGAGGGUUGCCAUUGGUGAUCAAGUUAGUAGCUUGUUAUUUAAAAGGGGAGAAAGAUGAACAAGUGUGGAGUGAUGUGAAGCGGAUUCUGCAAUCUGAAACAAAAGCUAAAUUGCUAAAUUUGGAAGGGGUUGGACAUGCUUACAAGCUGGCAUAUGAUAAAUUAGAGACGAGUCAGCAAAAGUGUCUUCUUUUUGUGACAUUGUUCACAAGUAACCAAAAAAUCUACAAAGAUUAUCUUAUAGAAUGUUGGAAUGCUGAGAGAUUUCUUGAAUUAGAUGUUCCAGAACUUAGGGCUGCACGAGAUCGUGGAGCAACAACUUUGCGAGAGCUAACAGAUCAUUACCUGCUCGAAAAUCUCUCAGACAGGCAUGUAAAGAUGCCAGAAUACUUCAGAAGAGUGGCUGCUGAGCAGGAAUAUCCAGGUGAAAACAAUUGCAUAAGUUGGAUGCAACAAAAGAUUCAACCCCUCACUGAUGAAACCUGGAGGGUGACUAGGAGGAUGUCGCUGAUCCGUUGUAAGUCCAAACUUCCCAGCGAACCAAUAAGUAAUAACAUGUCAACAUUACUACUGCAAUGUUAUCGCGAUUUGGUGACACUUGGAGAUAUGUUCUUUAAGAACAUGCAAAAGCUUCUCAUUUUGGACUUGCACAAAGCAGAUAUAGAAUCACUUCCGACUUCUAUAUCUAGUUUAGUCAGUCUCAGAUGUUUAUAUCUGAAUGAUUGUCGUCUACUUGCUAAGUUACCUCCAAAAGUAGAAAACUUGAAGAAGCUUGAACUCAUUGACAUUCGAGGAACUUCAAUUCGCUCGUUGCCCAUGGAAAUUGGUGUUAUGCUUCACUUAAGGUGCUUGCGAAUUUCAUUUGGUCAAACAGGGUGCAACCGCAAUGAGAAAUGUAAGGAGGUAGAAAUGACGAUUCCACAUAAUAUCAUCAAACGUCUUCAAUGGCUUGAAGAGUUGACCAUUGAGGCAGGGUGUUGCAAUCAAGCUUGGAAAAGUAUUGUUGAGGAAAUAGUCAAAGAGGCGGCAUGUUUGGAAAAGUUGAGUACUCUUAACUUUCACUUCCCGGAUGUGACUAGUCUUAAAUUAUUUGUUGCUAAGAGCAAAUCUCUCAAAAAUACAGACACACAUUGGGGUACAAGCACUUUAAGGUCGUUUAAUAUUUCUGUUGGUUGCUCUGAUACGAGACAUCCAUAUGGUUCGGAAAUAUCUGCAAUUUCACCCGAAAGACUGUUGAGAUUCUCCACCGGUGAAGAAAUUUCUUCAGUAAAAGAAGUACUGCAGCAGACAAGCUCAUUCGAAUUAGUUGGUCAUGGGGGUGUAGAGAGCUUGAGUGACUUUAACUUGAGAAAUGUCGGAACACUAAAAGUUUGUGUUGUGGAAGGAUGUGGAAAUAUGACAAGUGUUGUGGAUGGUUCUAGAAUCUAUGAUAUGCAAAUGGAAAUUACUGAAGAAUCUGAUUUUGCUAUGCUUCAGUGUUUGGAGAAACUAUAUUUGUUUGAACUUAAAACACUGCAGUCUAUUUGGAAUGGACCAGUUUGUUCAGGAAGCCUUGCAAACUUGAGGGAACUUACAUUUUUUGGUUGUUCGAAAUUGAUUACAAUUCUCAAUCUUGAACAAGCGAGAGCUCUUUCAAGCUUAGAGUAUGUCAAAGUUGAGAACUGUUCUGAGGUUGUUGAGAUCAUCAAUGAAAAUAUUGUUGCUGACAACAAUAUUGAUCUAUCUAAUAUGCUAAACAAGGUGAAGACUGUCGACCUGGUGGACUUGCCAAAGCUGCGAAGCAUAUGCAAGACUAAUACGCCCAUGGAAUGGAGAUCCCUGGUGAAAAUUGCAAUUAUAAGUUGCAAUGGAUUGCGAGAUAUUCAUUUCAGUUUGAGGAAUGCGGACAAGUUGGAAACUGUUGAGUGUGAAGAGAGUUGGUGGAUUCAGUUACCAGAGGAACAAAACGAAAAAAUUCUUCCUUGUCACUUCAUUGUCGUGGAACGAGAAUCAACUAAUCGAUGCCGCCAUGCCAGCUUUUCCAAUGAGUGCAAUGGUAAAGUAAUUCCUAGAAAUGAAAGCGAGCAGCUCAUAUCAAGAACAAGUUUUGGCCUUCAAGACAUGGUGGAAUCAUCACAUGGACAACGUCAUGUUAUUCAUCUGUCAACAAACGCCAAUGCUCCAGGAAAUGAAGAAGGCUCAUCCCUUUCAGUGGGAAGAUGUUCAGAAGUGGAUUUUUCAAUAUCCUCUCACUAGAUAUAUUUUCCUAUACUGAGUUUGUUGAUUGAAGAUUCAGAGGUACUGUUCUAGCUUGUUAAGGUUUUCGGACUAGGGAUGAUGGUGUGCAGGAUCUACUGAAAAGAGGAACUUUCUUUGCUUUUAUUGGUGUUUGAAGAUAAAACUAAAAAACCUCAGAUUUCAUGUGAUGUGUACAAGUAUGUAAUCAAUAUGGAUUGAAACUGCGCUGUCACCAGUUAUUUAUUCAGUUUGUUGUGUGAUUCAUUUUGUUUGACAAUCCGAUGUUUGAUGCUGUUUUGUCCACAUGUGCAAAUCAGUUUGUUCAAUAAUUCAAAACUAAGAACACACCUCAACUGUGAA